rnacentral:lncRNA from 1 species
GUCAUUUCACGGUAACGGCGUGAAUUCAUUUUAUCUUCUCCCUCUCACCCAGUUUCAUCUCAAAACCUUCAGACAACCCAGCGCCACCGUUCCACCAUCAAUUUCCGGCACCGCCAAAUCCGGCCACCGGACACCUCUCCACACUCCUCUAACCCUUUCCCCCACAACAAUUUCGCCGAAACCUCCACUACCCAACAGAUUCUUAUGUUGGAACCUACUCCGUUUCCUAAUCGAUAAACCAGGUGUUGAACGGGUCGUGGUGAUGUUGCUUUUCGUUUUCAUUGGUAAUGAAUGGCAAACAUCGACCUUUUUCACCAACUCUAUAAAGGUUUAUUUGAUUUUGGUGUUUUAUAGCUGAUGAAAUCCUGCACACCAGGUGUUCGAUGAAAUUUUAGGUUUUUUCUUCUAUUUUUUUAUGUUGGUCUGUGUAUUGUUUAGGCAGAACAGAUUGCAUUUAUAAACUCUUGGUAAUGUGUGAUGUUUGAAUCAGUGACUUGCAAAAGUGAACAUGUUGAAUGGUGUAUAAUAACAACUGAAAGUGUUUUGUAUGACAACUAAAAUGUUGAUGUGUUUAUCUAAAAUAAGUAAGUGAACAUGCUCAAUCGGAUUUCAAUUCCAGCAUACCUUCAUAUCGUUCAUCUAAAAUAAGUAAAGAUCCAUCGCCACUUCCCCGUCGCUGGUUCCGACUACCACGCCGUCAGCCGUCUUCCCCAACCACACCGGAACCACUACGCACCACCGUUCGCCCUCACCUUCGCUGCCGGUCUCCGACAUCAGAUGGAUAUUAAGUUAUCUUUUACUUUAGACUGGAUAUUAAGUUAGUUUCAGUUGAAUAAUGCUGCAGAUGCAGAGGUUCUACCGUACCGAAUAGGAUAUACAUACACAUUUCCAAACUCGGGUUAUUGUUGGUUUUGACCACGCGAAUCAUGGAGCUUUUUAAUUCGCCACACACCUUCGCUAUGACACUGUCUCAGGUCUUAAGUUGUGCUUAGCCUUUUAAGGCUUACCUGUUGACAGAAGGGGGUGGAGACGGUGGUUCCACUGCGUCUGCUCCGCCACUGCACCGAUGUGUAAACCAGCUGCCUCUCAAAAGCGAGGAACUCUCUGGUGAUGCCAGUAACGUUCCGGCGAACCUAGGGUUCCGCCAUGACCUUAUAUGGCGGCGGCGUUGAUGGUGUUCUGAGUAACCAGCACCGAUGGUUAACGGAUUCAACAGAGAUGAAGACGACUGCCAUACGAGUUAGCUGACAUAUUUUCCGGCGUUUAAGCGGCAGAGAGAAGAUGCUAGGGUUCCGGUGAAGGUCCGGCAAAGUUCCGGUACCCUAAUUCAGAUGUACGCCUUCUACCUACAGUUAGGUAAGGGUCAUAUGGCUCUUAAACCGGUGAUAUUUGUUGAUUCAGUAACCGUAGGUGCUUCGCUACCGAUUUAGAGUCUCUGGCGAUUCAGUAACUGUAGGUGCUCCACUUACCGAUUUAGAGUCUCUGGCGAGUUCCACACGAGUGUAUCGAUAACCACAAAGGUGCUGAAAGAAUCCCUGCGUUGAGGGAAACGGUUAUAAAAUGCAAUAUAUAUAACUUUAAUUUUGCAUACACUCAUCUCUUUUAACAAGCGAUGAUGGUGUCCUACCUGCCAAGGCAACUUCGGUUGCAGCCAUGGCGGCACUGAGCUGCGCUUUGUUGGCGAUGACAAUGAGGAAUUGUGCAUCUGAAUAUGUUUGUUUUGCAAUUAGUAUCGUUAUUUAAUCAAAGUUGUCG